rnacentral:tRNA from 1 species
GGCCUGGUAGCUCAGUUGGUAGAGCAGCGGACUGAAAAUCCGCGUGUCGGCGGUUCGAUUCCGUCCCAGGCCA